CCAAGGCGACGACGGGUAGCCGGCCUGAGAGGGCGACCGGCCACACUGGGACUGAGACACGGCCCAGACUCCUACGGGAGGCAGCAGUGGGGAAUAUUGGGCAAUGGACGNAAGUCUGACCCAGCGACGCCGCGUGCGGGAUGAAGGCCUUCGGGUUGUAAACCGCUUUCAGCAGGGAAGAAGCGAAAGUGACGGUACCUGCAAAAGAAGCACCGGCUAACUAUGUGCCAGCAGCCGCGGUAAUACAUAGGGUGCAAGCGUUGUCCGGAAUUAUUGGGCGUAAAGAGCUCGUAGGUGGUUAGUUACGUCGGGUGUGAAAAUCUGGGGCUCAACCCCAGACCUGCACUCGAUACGGGUUAGCUAGAGUUUGGUAGGGGAGACUGGAAUUCCU
rnacentral:rRNA from 1 species